CUUGUACUCCCUCUGUCCCAAAAUUCGUGUCUUAGAUUUGUCUAAAUACGGAUGUAUCUAGUUACGGUUUAGUGUUAGAUACAUCCAUAUCUAGACAAAUCUAAGAUAAGAAUUUUGGGACGGACGGAACUUAAU
rfam:Triticum urartu cultivar G1812 contig1144171, whole genome shotgun sequence.